ensembl:antisense_RNA Y48B6A.17 ncRNA
CCGUUGGGCCAGUGUACAUCGAUUCCGGUUGCAUCUCUACACUGGCUUAAGAUUCUCACAAACAUAACGCGUAUCUUCGGUUGUUCGUCGGAUCAAGAAGUCGGCGAGACGGGAGACGAAUCGAUGCGAAGGCCACUUCCGCGGAUUGGGAACAUCGAAGGUGGCCUCUCCGAAGUCGAUGAUCGUCAGCUUCUUUUCGUACGACUUGACCUUGACGGCUCCUCCAUCCGGCUUGUACUCCAGGUACUCGUCGUCGGUGUCGGUGAGGAGCACGUUCCGACAAUGGGCGUCGUUGUGAUACAACUUCAAGCUUGUCUCUCCGAUCAACAUCGUCAUCACGAACUGCUUCAUGAUUCCGAUGGAUUGCUGGGCCGUCAACGAAUCAGGUGGUUGGCUGGCCACCGGUCUCCCUCCUCUUGACAGAAUCACAACCAGCAUGUGAUUUGUCCGCCAGUUUUCUCGCAGCUGGUUUUUGACGUCUUGUGGCAUUCCAGUUACCACAGCCGCCAUCUCAAACUUCACAAGAUUGGGCGUUUGAUGGGCCACAUCACCGAGACGAUUCAGAGCAGCCACUUCCUGGAAGGCUUUCUUGUUUCGGUGGGACGGGUGCAAAGGAAUAAUCUUCGCCACCCUCUCCAGUCCCUUCCAGGUGCAGUUGAAAGCAUCUCCAGCAAUUCCUCCUCCCAGCUUCUGCUCCAACUCGAUUUUCAUCGCUGGCCACUGGACCACUUUCUUCUUGGUCGUCAUCUCGGGAAGAUAGCCGAACUGCUCGAAGUCUUUUUCCAGUGCUGUAAAAAAUGGAGUUAUAGAGAAAACUCACCAUUCCGACGCAAACGCAAGAGAUGAAGUAGAAAAGCACCGAAAACUGGAGUCCGAUAGAUAGAUACUCUUUAUGGAAAGAGGAAUACAGUGUGUUUGUUUUUCCAA